AUUGAACGCUGGCGGCAGGCCUAACACAUGCAAGUCGAACGAGUGGCGGACGGGUGAGUACUGUCUGGGAAACUGCCUGAUGGAGGGGGAUAACUACUGGAAACGGUAGCUAAUACCGCAUACCAUCAGAUGUGCCCCGAUAGGAUUAGCUACUUGGUAGGGUAACGGCUCACCAAGGCGACUAUCCCUAGCUGGUCUGAGAGGAUGACCAGCCACACUGGGACUGAGCCACGGUCAAGACUCCUAGGGUAGGCAGCAGUGGGGAAUAUUGCACGAUGGGCGCAAGCCUGAUGCAGCCAUGCCGCGUGUAUGAAGAAGGCCUUCGGGUUGUAGAGUACUUUCAGCGGGGAGGCGUUACCCGCAGAAGAAGCACCGGCUAACUCCGUGCCAGCAGCCGCGGUAAUUC
rnacentral:rRNA from 1 species